CCGAGUUUCACUCCCAACCCCUGUGAACAACCUAUACGUUGCCUCGGCGGAUCAGCCCGCGCCCCGUAAAACGGGACGGCCCGCCCGAGGACCCUAAACUCUGUUUUUAGUGGAACUUCUGAGUAAAACAAACAAAUAAAUCAAAACUUUCAACAACGGAUCUCUUGGUUCUGGCAUCGAUGAAGAACGCAGCAAAAUGCGAUAAGUAAUGUGAAUUGCAGAAUUCAGUGAAUCAUCGAAUCUUUGAACGCACAUUGCGCCCGCCAGUAUUCUGGCGGGCAUGCCUGUUCGAGCGUCAUUUCAACCCUCAAGCUCAGCUUGGUGUUGGGACUCGCGGUAACCCGCGUUCCCCAAAUCGAUUGGCGGUCACGUCGAGCUUCCAUAGCGUAGUAAUCAUACACCUCGUUACUGGUAAUCGUCGCGGCCACGCCGUAAAACCCCAACUUCUGAAUGUUGACCUCGGAUCAGGUAGGAAUACCCGCUG
rnacentral:rRNA from 1 species